rnacentral:rRNA from 1 species
UCUGGUGGCCAUAGUGGAGGGGAAACACCCGUUCCCAUUCCGAACACGGAAGUUAAGCCCUCCAACGCCGAUGGUACUCUGGGGGAAACCCCAUGGGAGAGUAGGUCGCUGCCAGGG